UAAAGUCUACAUGGUCAUGGUAUAUUAUCCUUUUAAGCAGUGAUGGUAAUUUUUAAUUUCAGUUUUCACAUAUUCAUUGGUAAUACAGUCAUCCCUUGGUAUCCAUCUAGGACUGGCUCCAGGACCCCUUCAAAAUCUACAGAUGCUUUAAAUCAUCUCUAGAUGAUACAAUGUAAAUGCUAUGCAUUGGACAAAAUGCAGUAUAGGACUAUGAUUCUUUGAGAAGUGUUAAAAACAAAGGUAUGUCCUGUAAAUUCUUUUGAAUUAUUAUCUGAAAACGGUUUUCUCACUGCAGUGCAAGACAGGGAAUGCAAACAAAGCCUGACGUAUUACUGAGUUAAGAAAACAGAACUUUGUGUUUUGAGUAGCUUAGUGCCAGAGAGCUGGGAUUGGGAGAGAUUGAUAGAGAAUUCUGAAGAUGUGCUGAGAGAGUCCCUUGACGCUAUGGCUGGCUGGGUACUGAUCUGUACAGAUAUAUGUAUGUAUGAAAGAAUACCACUGAACACCAGGGAAAGAACCAUAAGAAAACAGUAAGCCAAACAAUUCCUAGAUUCCACAAAUAGUUUUGGACAUGCUUAGCCAAAAUGUAAUGAAUACACAAAUACUGGGAAGAAUUCCCAGAAAGGUAUUGUGUUAGUAUAAGGCAAAUAAGUUCUAUACAAGCAAGCCUAAAAUAAAGUAAACUGACUCUCAGUAACUUAAUUGUGUACCAGCACAACAGAGCCCAAUACUAUUAAAAAGAAUAACAAAAUCUAGCUAUCAUCAAUAUAAGGUUUACAGUAUCUGGCAUCCAGUCAAAAAAUGCCAAAAAAAAUCAACCAGGAAAAUAUAACACAGUUCAUAGAUAAU